AUCUUGAGCUUUAUUCUGAAAGGCUUAUGUGGAAAAUAAACAAGCGGACACGCGAUGGUUUUACAUCGUUGUUGACAACGCAUAAAAAUAGGCGCUUGUCAGGUCGUGUGGUUAUAUUAAAUAUAAGCGAAAGAGAGAACCUUCAAGAAAUGAAUAUAGCCACUACAGUGACCAUCAAGACCAUUAAAUUUGGAUAAUAAAACUCGAGGUGGAAACCAGGAGGCAGCCGGAAGAAUACAUCCGAGGACAGGACACAUCAAGGUGCGGCAUGAGGAGAGAUACAACGGGAGAAAGAUGGUGCAGAGAUAAUCGUGGACCAAAGAACCUGUACGCCGUGUCCCGUACGCCAGAAAGCUGCUCUACCAGGAGCUGCAGUCCGUGACCAUCAUCCCUCGACUCGAGCUGUCGCGCUACAGCGAGUGAGCAGGACAAGGACAGAGAUGUGUUGGGUGGAGACGAGGUUGUGCUCAGUGUGCUGAGGUGAAGCAUCCAAACCACACAGCCUGUUCUUCAAUCCGGGAUCGUGUCCCAAAUCAGAGCUGCGGAAGGGUAAGCGUCACAGUGAGUGUGCUGCAGCUGAUGUUGACCUGAAGAAUCGUGUCUCGCAGGUACAGUCUGCAGUCUGUGAAGUGGGGCUCCUGCUGCUCAGGUGUUCUCACUGAAGUCCGUUUCACCUGAUGAGAGGAGGCAGCUCUGACUUGAGGCUGUUCAAGAAUGAGCGCCACUUGAUCUGGUUCCACCUCUACCACAGGCAGAGAAACACAGGCCUGGACUCUUUGUUGGCCAGACAAAAUCAGAAACGGAAAUCAUUGGUUUUUACAACUGGGUCCAGUUCUACCUGCAAAGGAUAUGAGGCCAGGGAGCAUGAUUUGUGGUGUGGCAGCCAUGGGUUGAGCCAGCCCUGCAAACCCUGUGGAUGGACGAUGCAGUGG